GCGAGCGUAGCUCAGUUGGUUAGAGCGCUCCCUUCACACGGGAGAGGUCGGGAGUUCGAAUCUUCCCGCUCGCA
rnacentral:tRNA from 2 species